UACGUAGGGCGCAAGCGUUGUCCGGAAUCAUUGGGCGUAAAGAGCGUGUAGGCGGCCUGAAAGGUCAGCUGUGAAAACUCGAGGCUCAACCUCGAGACGUCGGUUGAAACCAUCUGGCUAGAGUCCGGAAGAGGAGUGUGGAAUUCCCGGUGUAGCGGUGAAAUGCGCAGAUAUCGGGAAGAACACCCGUGGCGAAGGCGGCACUCUGGGACGGUACUGACGCUGAGACGCGAAAGUGUGGGGAGCGAACAGG
rnacentral:rRNA from 1 species